UAGGGAAUCUUCGGCAAUGGGGGCAACCCUGACCGAGCAACGCCGCGUGAGUGAAGAAGGUUUUCGGAUCGUAAAGCUCUGUUGUAAGUCAAGAACGAGUGUGAGAGUGGAAAGUUCACACUGUGACGGUAGCUUACCAGAAAGGGACGGCUAACUACGUGCCUGCAGCCGCGGUAAUACGUAGGUCCCGAGCGUUGUCCGGAUUUAUUGGGCAUAAAGCGAGCGCAGGCGGUUUGAUAAGUCUGAAGUUAAAGGCUGUGGCUCAACCAUAGUUCGCUUUGGAAACUGUCAAACUUGAGUGCAGAAGGGGAGAGUGGAAUUCCAUGUGUAGCGGUGAAAUGCGUAGAUAUAUGGAGGAACACCGGUGGCGAAAGCGGCUCUCUGGUCUGUAACUGACGCUGAGGCUCGAAAGCGUGGGGAGCGAACAGGAUUAGAUACCCUGGUAGUCCACGCCGUAAACGAUGAGUGCUAGGUGUUGGAUCCUUUCCGGGAUUCAGUGCCGCAGCUAACGCAUUAAGCACUCCGCCUGGGGAGUACGACCGCAAGGUUG
rnacentral:rRNA from 1 species